rnacentral:rRNA from 1 species
CUUGGUCAUUUAGAGGAAGUAAAAGUCGUAACAAGGUUUCCGUAGGUGAACCUGCGGAAGGAUCAUUACAGAGUUCAUGCCCUCACGGGUAGAUCUCCCACCCUUGAAUACUAUGCCUUUGUUGCUUUGGUGGGCCACGUCCGCGUGUCGGCUCCGGCUGGCUGCGCCCGCCAGAGGACCCAAACUCGUUAGUUUUUAGUAAUGUCCGAGUAUUUAUCUAAUAGUUAAAACUUUCAACAACGGAUCUCUUGGUUCUGGCAUCGAUGAAGAACGCAGCGAAAUGCGAUAAGUAAUGUGAAUUGCAGAAUUCAGUGAAUCAUCGAAUCUUUGAACGCACAUUGCGCCCCUUGGUAUUCCGAGGGGCAUGCCUGUUCGAGCGUCAUUAUGACCACUCAAGCCCCCGGCUUGGUGUUGGGGCCCGCGGUUCUGCGGCCCUUAAAACCAGUGGCGGUGCCAUUGGGCUCUAAGCGUAGUAAUACUCUUCGCUAUAGAGUCUCGGUAGGCGCUUGCCAGCAACCCCCCAUCUCACGGUUGACCUCGGAUCAGGUAGGGAUACCCGCUGAACUUAAGCAUAUCAAUAAGCGGAGGA